GACGAACGCUGGCGGCGUGCUUAACACAUGCAAGUCGAACGGAAAGGCCCUGCUUUUGUGGGGUGCUCGAGUGGCGAACGGGUGAGUAACACGUGAGUAACCCGCCCUUGACGUUGGGAUAACUUCAGGAAAGUGGGGCUAAUACCGGAUAGGAGCUCCUGCUGCAUGGUGGGGGUUGGAAAGUUUCGGCGGUUGGGGAUGGACUCGCGGCUUAUCAGCUUGUUGGUGGGGUAGUGGCUUACGAAGGCUUUGACGGGUAGCCGGACUGAGAGGGUGACCGGCCACAUUGGGACUGAGAUACGGCCCAGACUCCUACGGGAGGCAGCAGUGGGGAAUAUUGCACAAUGGGCGGAAGCCUGGUGCAGCAACGCCGCGUGCGGGAUGACGGCCUUCGGGUUGUAAACCGCUUUCGCCUGUGACGAAGCGUGAGUGACGGUAAUGGGUAAAGAAGCACCGGCUAACUACGUG
rnacentral:rRNA from 1 species